UACGUAGGGGGCAAGCGUUGUCCGGAUUUAUUGGGCGUAAAGAGCGUGUAGGCGGCUUGGUAGGUCCGCUGUGAAAACUCGAGGCUCAACCUCGAGAUGUCGGCGGAAACCACUUGGCUAGAGUCCGGAAGAGGAGAGUGGAAUUCCUGGUGUAGCGGUGAAAUGCGUAGAUAUCUGGAGGAAUACCGGUGGCGAAGGCGGCAUCCUGGACCGGCAUUGACGCUGAGGAGCGAAAGCUAGGGGAGCAAACGGG
rnacentral:rRNA from 1 species